GACGAAGGUGGCAAGCGUUGUUCGGAAUCACUGGGCAUAAAGGGCGCGUAGGCGGCUGUGUAAGUCAGGUGUGAAAGCCCUCGGCUCAACCGAGGAACUGCGCCUGAUACUGCACGGCUUGAGGUCCGGAGGGGAGAGUGGAAUUCCCGGUGGAGCGGUGAAAUGCGUAGAGAUCGGGAAGAACGCCGGCGGCGAAAGCGACUCUCUGGUCGGAAUCUGACGCUGAGGCGCGAAAGCUAGGGGAGCAAACGGG
rnacentral:rRNA from 1 species